UACGGAGGGGGCUAGCGUUUGUUCGGAAUUACUGGGCGUAAAGCGCACGUAGGCGGCUUUGUAAGUUAGAGGUGAAAGCCCGGGGCUCAACUCCGGAACUGCCUUUAAGACUGCAUCGCUAGAAUUGUGGAGAGGUAAGUGGAAUUCCGAGUGUAGAGGUGAAAUUCGUAGAUAUUCGGAAGAACACCAGUGGCGAAGGCGACUUACUGGACACAUAUUGACGCUGAGGUGCGAAAGCGUGGGGAGCAAACAGG
rnacentral:rRNA from 1 species